rnacentral:rRNA from 1 species
GAUGGACGCUGGCGGCGUGCCUAAUACAUGCAAGUCGAGCGAACGGACGAGAAGCUUGCUUCUCUGAUGUUAGCGGCGGACGGGUGAGUAACACGUGGAUAACCUACCUAUAAGACUGGGAUAACUUCGGGAAACCGGAGCUAAUACCGGAUGAUAUUUUGAACCGCAUGGUUCAAAAGUGAAAGACGGUCUUGCUGUCACUUAUAGAUGGAUCCGCGCUGCAUUAGCUAGUUGGUAAGGUAACGGCUUACCAAGGCAACGAUGCAUAGCCGACCUGAGAGGGUGAUCGGCCACACUGGAACUGAGACACGGUCCAGACUCCUACGGGAGGCAGCAGUAGGGAAUCUUCCGCAAUGGGCGAAAGCCUGACUGAGCAACGCCGCGUGAGUGAUGAAGGUCUUCGGAUCGUAAAACUCUGUUAUUAGGGAAGAACAUAUGUGUAAGUAACUGUGCACAUCUUGACGGUACCUAAUCAGAAAGCCACGGCUAACUACGUG